GACGAACGCUGGCGGCGUGCUAACACAUGCAAGUCGAACGAGAUUCAGUUUGUAGCAAUACUUACGAAGAUCUAGUGGCGAACGGGUGAGUAGCACGUGAGCAACCUGCCCCGAAGACCGGGACAACACCGGGAAACCGGUGCUAAUACCGGAUACCCCCACCGAGCCGCAUGGCUUGGUGAGGAAAUGGAUUCCGCUUCGGGAGGGGCUCGCGGCCUAUCAGCUUGUUGGUGAGGUAACGGCUCACCAAGGCUUCGACGGGUAGCUGGUCUGAGAGGACGAUCAGCCACACUGGGACUGAGACACGGCCCAGACUCCUACGGGAGGCAGCAGUGGGGAAUCUUGCACAAUGGGCGAAAGCCUGAUGCAGCAACGCCGCGUGAGGGACGAAGGCUUUCUGAGUUGUAAACCUCUUUCAGCAGGGACGAUUGUGACGGUACCUGCAGAAGAAGCCCCGGCCAACUACGUGCCAGCAGCCGCGGUAAUACGUAGGGGGCAAGCGUUGUCCGGAUUUAUUGGGCGUAAAGAGCUCGUAGGCGGCUUGGCAAGUCGGAUGUGAAACCUCCAGGCUCAACCUGGAGUCGCCAUUCGAUACUGCCAUGGCUAGAGUUUGGUAGGGGACCACGGAAUUCCUGGUGUAGCGGUGAAAUGCGCAGAUAUCAGGAGGAACACCAGCGGCGAAGGCGGUGGUCUGGGCCAAUACUGACGCUGAGGAGCGAAAGCGUGGGGAGCGAACAGGAUUAGAUACCCUGGUAGUCCGCGCCGUAAACGUUGGGCACUAGGUGUGGGGACCUAUCGACGGUUUCUGUGCCGCAGCU
rnacentral:rRNA from 1 species